rnacentral:tRNA from 1 species
CAGAAAAUAGUUUAUAAAAAAUAUUAGUUUUGGGGAUUAAAGAUGAGAGUAGCUUUUCUUUUCUGA